rnacentral:rRNA from 1 species
GGGAGGUAGUGACAAUAAAUAACAAUACAGGGCUCUUACGGGUCUUGUAAUUGGAAUGAGUACAAUUUAAAUCCCUUAACGAGGAACAAUUGGAGGGCAAGUCUGGUGCCAGCAGCCGCGGUAAUUCCAGCUCCAAUAGCGUAUAUUAAAGUUGUUGCAGUUAAAAAGCUCGUAGUUGAACUUCAGGCCUGGCUGGACGGUCCGCCUUCCGGGCGAGCACUGUCUGUGGUCGGGUCCUACCUUCUGGCGAAGCGUCAUGGCCUUAACCGGCCGUGGCGGGGAACCAGGACUUUUACUGUGAAAAAAUUAGAGUGUUCAAAGCAGGCAAUUCGCUUGGAUACAUUAGCAUGGAAUAAUGGAAUAGGACAAUGGUUCUAUUUGUUGGUUUCUAGGACUGUUGUAAUGAUUAAUAGGGAUAGUUGGG